GACGAUUCCUGCAGGGAAACACUGAAGUACUGUAAACAGUCAACCGUCUGCCUACCUGAACUAAUCCCCUGUCUGACAUCACAGCACUAUGCUCAACAGGAACGUUGUUCUUCUGUUCUCUCUGUUCUCUCUGCUCAUCGUGCUGGUGGAGGGAGACAUCGACUCCAGCGAUGCUGGAAUACAUGCCACAUCGACAGACAAAGAUUCUACAUCUGAUGAAGCUCCUACAGAGAGCAUAAACGCCAUCUCUCCUGAUCACCCUGAUGAAUCACAUUAUUACGGAGGAGGACCUUCAGACGUCAGCAGCUCCAGUUCACAGGCAGCAGACAAACCUGCUGUAGCUGCUCCAAACAGUGUGGAAGAAGAAGAUGAUGACUCUGAAGAAUUAGGGAAGAAAAAGUCCAGCUCUAGUUUGGCUAACCCGCAGAACUCCGCCCUCAACCACCAGAGUCCCGACCAUGCCAUUGAAAGCCCCGCCCUCCCACCACAGCCGGUAAUCCCUCAGCCCAAAACCCUGGUGAGGAGCCGAACGUCCAAGAGACGAUCCAGGAACAACCGCCGCCACAUAUAGAACAUCAACAGUCACAGUUAGAACACAAUGUUAAACCAAAUAAAACCCAAACGCACACAGAUCUGUCACAUGAUUAACACACACUCAUACGACACAUAAACUCACCUGAACACUCAAAGCAGGUUGACCUUCAGUUUCUAAAACUACCAGCAAAUUCAACUUGGUAGAAUCACCAAGCCAUCUGAUUUAUUCCAGGGUUGAGUGAAACUGCUGUCCAGAAUCCAGGGGUCAUAUUCAUUAUAUACAACAGAUAAACUCCAUGGAAAAAAGCAUUGGUCCACUCAGUCUCUUAAGGUGUUUUAACAUAUUUAACAUUAUUAUUCUGCUCUCAAUCAGAAGUUGUAAAAGUUUGGCUUACAAAAAAGAAAUACAUGAAAGACAUGAUGUCUUUUCUUUUCACACAGAAAAACCAAACUGUCACUACAAACCCUGUGAGAACCUUUAGUCUGCUUGUCUGCCAGAUGUUUGGGGCAGGAGCAAGAAAUGUAAGAACAGGAAGAAGGUUUUGGGUUCUUUCCCAGUGAUAAACAUGAAGGACCAUGAACUUAGAUUAAUUUUACGGCCAGGUGCUAGAUUGACUGUAUGUUUACUCUGCGUAAGAAAGAAAACGAAACAGAGCUCAAUUUAAUCGGAUUGAACACAGCAGGUGUGAAAAAUCUUCAUCUUUUUAAUUCAGGUGUUUUCAGUUCCAUUUCACAGGUGUAUAUAAUCCAACAGCUAGCCAGCCAGUCUGCCUUUACAAACAUUUGUGAAAGAACUAACUGAAUUUAAGUAUACCACUACAUCAGGAUACCAUGUUUGCAACAAGUCAGUUCGUAGAAUUUCUUCCCUUUAGAUGUUCUGCGUCAGCUUUACGUACUGUUAUUGCAAAGUGGAAGCAUUUAGGAACCACAGCAGCUCAGCCAUGAAGUGUCAGACCAACUUUUAUCUUUGGCCCUAAUGUAUUUCAUUGGCGUUGACCCCUGGAUCAAGCAGACCUCGGAGUAUUAAACCUGCUCAGUUUAUCUGUUUGCUGUUUUUAUUCUUUCUUUUAUAUGUGUGUUCCUGAAACAUUUAAACAUUUGUGAUGGUAAUUUCUUCUGAUUGCUUCAUUUAUCAGAUUUAAAUAAAGUUAAA